rnacentral:rRNA from 1 species
GAGCGGGGGCUCCGGGUGGACACUUCAAACUCUUGCGUAACUUUGCAGUCUGAGUAAACUUAAUUAAUAAAUUAAAACUUUUAACAACGGAUCUCUUGGUUCUGGCAUCGAUGAAGAACGCAGCGAAAUGCGAUAAGUAAUGUGAAUUGCAGAAUUCAGUGAAUCAUCGAAUCUUUGAACGCACAUUGCUGCCCCCUGGUAUUCCGGGGGGCAUGCCUGUUCGAGCGUCAUUUCACCACUCAAGCCUCGCUUGGUAUUGGGCAACGCGGUCCGCCGCGUGCCUCAAAUCGACCGGCUGGGUCUUCUGUCCCCUAAGCGUUGUGGAAAACUAUUCGCUAAACGGGUGCUCGGGAGGCUACGCCGUAAAACCAAACCCAUUUUCUAAGGUUGACCUCGGAUCAGGUAGGGGAUACCCUGCUGAAC